rnacentral:lncRNA from 1 species
GGCUAGAAGACAGCAGGGGAACUCGAGAAGUUGGUUGUUUUCAGCAGAUUAAAACAAUACAGUCAGAAGGUUGGUGCUGUUUAAAGGGGAAAAAAAAGCUCUAAGUGUCCCCUUCUCCCAAAAAAAGGAACCAGAAAAUGACAAGAAGAGUUGCAUUUGUCUAUGAAAGUGCAUAGAAAGCUUUUCCUGGAAAAGAAUAAACUGGGAAAAGAUGAGUCCUUGAAGUAGAACCCUGUCAUAGUGCAACAAACUGAAUUUAAGAGGCAUCUGUUCCCAGCUUAUACAACAUCCAGUACCAGUUCCACAGCCAACAAUGGAUAGAUUUGGUCGUCCUUGAAGCAUUUAGAGACCUGUAGAAUGAACUUAACUUCUGAAAACUGGGUGCGGGGCCAAUAGAGGGGCUGCUCAAUACCUCACCAGCCUGCUACGCGGAAGGCUAGAUGGAGGGCUGCUAAAGGAAGAGAACUGCUGUUCCACCUCCGCCUCCUCCCUGCAGUGUGGCUUCUUAGAAAAGGAGAUACCGCUGGCCCUCCAUAUUCACAAGCUCUGCAUCUGUGGGUUCAGCCAACUAUGGAUCGAAAUAUGCAACUUCAAAUUAUCUUCAUUCAGGAAG